rnacentral:rRNA from 1 species
UACCUGGUUGACCCUGCCAGUAGUCAUAUGCUUGUCUCA